CGCCCGGUAGCGAUGUCGCGCGGAGAUAACCGCUGAAAGCAUCUAAGUGGGAAACUCUUCCCAAGAUGAACACUCCUGGACCUUAAGGUCCCUGAAGGGCCCUGGGAGACUACCAGGUUGAUAGGCCUCAGAUGUACGGCGCGCAAGCGCUUUAGUCGAGCGGUACUAAUCGCCCGUGAAGUUUGAUCUC
rnacentral:rRNA from 1 species